GUGGGUAGUUUGACUGGGGCGGUCUCCUCCUAAAGAGUAACGGAGGAGCACGAAGGUUGGCUAAUCCUGGUCGGACAUCAGGAGGUUAGUGCAAUGGCAUAAGCCAGCUUGACUGCGAGCGUGACGGCGCGAGCAGGUGCGAAAGCAGGUCAUAGUGAUCCGGUGGUUCUGAAUGGAAGGGCCAUCGCUCAACGGAUAAAAGGUACUCCGGGGAUAACAGGCUGAUACCGCCCAAGAGUUCAUAUCGACGGCGGUGUUUGGCACCUCGAUGUCGGCUCAUCACAUCCUGGGGCUGAAGUAGGUCCCAAGGGUAUGGCUGUUCGCCAUUUAAAGUGGUACGCGAGCUGGGUUUAGAACGUCGUGAGACAGUUCGGUCCCUAUCUGCCGUGGGCGCUGGAGAACUGAGGGGGGCUGCUCCUAGUACGAGAGGACCGGAGUGGACGCAUCACUGGUGUUCGGGUUGUCAUGCCAAUGGCACUGCCCGGUAGCUAAAUGCGGAAGAGAUAAGUGCUGAAAG
rnacentral:rRNA from 3 species